rnacentral:rRNA from 1 species
AACGCUGGCGGCGUGCCUAAUACAUGCAAGUCGAACGGUCUUUCUAUGGAAGCUUGCUCCACUGAAAGAUAGUGGCGAACGGGUGAGUAACACGUGGGUAACCUGCCCAUAAGAGGGGGGAUAACAUCCGGAAACGGGUGCUAAUACCGCAUAGUUUUCUUGAUCGCAUGAUCGGGAAAGGAAAGACGGCCUUUGUGCUGUCGCUUAUGGAUGGACCCGCGGCGUAUUAGUUAGUUGGUGAGGUAACGGCUCACCAAGACGAUGAUACGUAGCCGACCUGAGAGGGUGAUCGGCCACAUUGGGACUGAGACACGGCCCAAACUCCUACGGGAGGCAGCAGUAGGGAAUCUUCCGCAAUGGACGAAAGUCUGACGGAGCAACGCCGCGUGAGUGAAGAAAGGUUUUCGGAUCGUAAAACUCUGUUGUCAGAGAAGAACAAGUUGGAGAGUAACUGCUCCAGCCUUGACGGUAUCUGACCAGAAAGCCACGGCUAACUACGUGCCAGCCGCUGC